rnacentral:rRNA from 1 species
CUUAGUGGCGGACGGGUGAGUAACGCGUGGGUAACCUGCCUCACACUGGGGGAUAACAGUUAGAAAUAGCUGCUAAUACCGCAUAAGCGCACGGUUCCGCAUGGAACAGUGUGAAAAACUCCGGUGGUGUGAGAUGGACCCGCGUCUGAUUAGCCAGUUGGCGGGGUAACGGCCCACCAAAGCGACGAUCAGUAGCCGGCCUGAGAGGGUGAACGGCCACAUUGGGACUGAGACACGGCCCAAACUCCUACGGGAGGCAGCAUG